rnacentral:rRNA from 1 species
GCGGAGGAUCAUUCAUAAUAAGUGUUUUAUGGCACUUUUUAAAUCCAUAUCCACCUUGUGUGCAAUGUCAGUCGUUCUCUUUUUUGAGAGCGACCAAACAUCAACUUAUUCUUUAACUCUUUGUCUGAAAAAUAUUAUGAAUAAAAUAAUUCAAAAUACAACUUUCAACAACGGAUCUCUUGGCUCUCGCAUCGAUGAAGAACGCAGCGAAAUGCGAUACGUAAUGUGAAUUGCAGAAUUCAGUGAAUCAUCGAAUCUUUGAACGCAUAUUGCGCUCUUUGGUAUUCCGAAGAGCAUGCUUGUUUGAGUAUCAGUAAACACCUCAAAGACUUCAAUUUGUUUUGAAUGGCUUUGGACUUGAGCAAUCCCAACACCAGUCUUUACGAUCGGUGGAGGGUUGCUUGAAAUGCAGGUGCAGCUGGACAUUCUCCUGAGCUAAAAGCAUAUUUAUUUAGUCCCGUCAAACGGAUUAUUACUUUUGCUGCAGCUAACAUAAAGGGAGUUUGACCGUAUUGGCUGACUGAUGCAGGAUUUCACAAGGGUCGGCAACGAUUCUUGUAAAACUCGAUCUCAAAUCAAGUAAGACUACCCGCUGAACUUAAGCAUAUCA